rnacentral:rRNA from 1 species
GAGUUUGAUCCUGGCUCACGAUUGAACGCUGGCGGCAGGCCUAACACAUGCAAGUCGAGCGGUAGAGAGAAGCUUGCUUCUCUUGAGAGCGGCGGACGGGUGAGUAAUGCCUAGGAAUCUGCCUGGUAGUGGGGGAUAACGCUCGGAAACGGACGCUAAUACCGCAUACGUCCUACGGGAGAAAGCAGGGGACCUUCGGGCCUUGCGCUAUCAGAUGAGCCUAGGUCGGAUUAGCUAGUUGGUGAGGUAAUGGCUCACCAAAGGCGACGAUCCGUAACUGGUCUGAGAGGAUGAUCAGUCACACUGGAACUGAGACACGGUCCAGACU